rnacentral:rRNA from 1 species
CCUGGUCUUGACAUAGUAAGAACUUUCCAGAGAUGGAUUGGUGCCUUCGGGAACUUACAUACAGGUGCUGCAUGGCUGUCGUCAGCUCGUGUCGUGAGAUGUUGGGUUAAGUCCCGCAACGAGCGCAACCCUUUUCCUUAUUUGCCAGCGGGUUAAGCCGGGAACUUUAAGGAUACUGCCAGUGACAAACUGGAGGAAGGCGGGGACGACGUCAAGUCAUCAUGGCCCUUACGACCAGGGCUACACACGUGCUACAAUGGUCGGUACAAAGGGUUGCUACCUCGCGAGAGGAUGCUAAUCUCAAAAAGCCGAUCGUAGUCCGGAUCGCAGUCUGCAACUCGACUGCGUGAAGUCGGAAUCGCUAGUAAUCGCGGAUCAGAAUGCCGCGGUGAAUACGUUCCCGGGCCUUGUACACACCGCCCGUCACACCAUGGGAGUUUGUUGCACCAGAAGUAGGUAGUCUAACCGUAAGGAGGACGCUUACCACGGUGUGGCAGAUGACUGGGGUGAAGUCGUAACAAGGUAAGCGUAGAUGA